rnacentral:rRNA from 1 species
AUUGAACGCUGGCGGCAGGCCUAACACAUGCAAGUCGAGCGGAGCGGCGGACGGGUGAGUAAUGCCUAGGAAUCUGUCUGGUAGUGGGGGAUAACGUCCGGAUACGGGCGCUAAUACCGCAUACUCUCAGAUGAGCCUAGGUCCGAUUAGCUGUUUGGUGGGGUAAAGGCCUACCAAGGCGACGAUACGUACCUGGUCUGUGAGGAUGAUCAGUCACACUGGAAAUGGGGCACGGGCCGGAAUCCUACGGGAGGCAGCAGUGGGGAAUAUUAGACAAUGGGCGAAAGCCUGAUUCAGCCAGGCCGCGUGUGUGAAGAAGGUCUUCGGAUUGUAAAGAACUUUAAGUUGGGAGGCGUUACCAACAGAAUAAGCACAGGCUAACUUCGUGCCAGCCGCCGCGGUAAUAC